rnacentral:rRNA from 1 species
CGGGUGAGUAAUGCAUAGGUAACGUGCCCCCUAGACCGGGACAACAGUUGGAAACGACUGCUAAUACCGGAUACUCCUUCUCACUUGAUGUGAGUCGGGAAAUGUUUUUUCGCUAGGGGAUCGGCCUAUGUUGUAUCAGGUAGUUGGUGAGGUAAUGGCUCACCAAGCCUAUGACACAUAGCGGGUCUGAGAGGAUGAUCCGCCACACUGGUACUGAGACACGGACCAG